UAGGGAAUAUUGGACAAUGGGUGAGAGCCUGAUCCAGCCAUGCCGCGUGAGUGACGAAGGUCUUAGGGUUGUAAAAUCCUUUCGUUGGGGACGAUAAUGACGGUACCCAAAGAAGAAGCUCCGGCUAACUUCGUGCCAGCAGCCGCGGUAAUACGAAGGGGGCUAGCGUUGUUCGGAUUUACUGGGCGUAAAGCGCGUGUAGGCGGACUUGUAAGUUGGGGGUGAAAUCCCGAGGCUCAACCUCGGAACUGCCUCCAAAACUACAAAUCUGGACCUAAGUAGAGGCAAGUGGAAUUGCGAGUGUAGAGGUGAAAUUCGUAGAUAUUCGCAGGAACACCAGUGGCGAAGGCGAACUUGCUGGACUUAUGGUGACGCUGAGACGCGAAAGCGUGGGGAGCAAACAGGAUUAGAUACCCAUGUAAUCCCUGAGCGGGCUGGCAAGGCGCAU
rnacentral:rRNA from 1 species